CUUUAAAGAAGAAAGGGGAUUUAUCCAGUACAACUGAGGAGGACAUAUCAACCUUCUCUCUCUUUUUCUUUGGAGCUCUGAAAAUGGCGCAACCUCAGUAGCCAUCAUCUGCCUUGCCCUUCCUCCUCCAACUUUUGCAACAAAAUGCGCUCAAAGGACAAAAUCGCCUAUUUUUACGACGGGGAUGUGGGUAGCGUCUACUUUGGACCGAACCAUCCCAUGAAACCACACCGACUAUGUAUGACCCAUCAUCUUGUCCUCUCAUAUGACCUCCACAAGAAGAUGGAAAUUUAUCGGCCCCAUAAGGCCUAUCCGGUGGAGCUUGCGCAAUUCCAUUCAGCUGACUAUGUCGAGUUUCUACAUCGGAUUACGCCUGACACACAGCACUUGUUCUCGAAUGAACUGGCAAGAUAUAAUCUUGGAGAAGAUUGCCCUGUAUUUGAUAACUUGUUUGAAUUUUGUCAAAUUUAUGCUGGUGGAACAAUAGAUGCUGCACGUAGGUUGAACAAUAAACUUUGUGACAUUGCUAUAAAUUGGGCUGGCGGACUACACCACGCCAAGAAGUGCGAGGCAUCCGGAUUUUGUUACAUCAAUGACUUGGUCUUGGGGAUCUUGGAGCUUCUAAAACAUCAUGCCCGAGUAUUGUACAUUGACAUAGAUGUGCAUCAUGGUGAUGGCGUAGAAGAAGCUUUUUAUUUUACUGAUAGGGUGAUGACGGUUAGUUUUCACAAAUUUGGGGAUAUGUUUUUCCCUGGAACGGGUGAUGUUAAGGAAGUAGGAGAAAGAGAAGGAAAGUUUUAUGCCAUCAAUGUCCCACUGAAGGAUGGAAUAGAUGACACUAGCUUCAAUAGACUUUUCAAGACUAUUAUUUCCAAGGUUGUUGAAACAUAUCUACCAGGCGUGAUAGUUCUCCAAUGUGGGGCAGAUUCUCUUGCUGGAGACCGCUUGGGCUGCUUCAAUCUCUCCAUUGAUGGUCAUGCUGAUUGUGUUAGGUUUGUGAAGAAAUUCAAUUUACCCUUACUGGUUACAGGAGGUGGUGGAUACACGAAAGAGAAUGUUGCUCGGUGUUGGACUGUUGAAACUGGAGUUCUUCUUGAUUCAGAACUUCCUAAUGAGAUCCCGGAAAACGAGUAUAUCAAGUAUUUUUCUCCCGACUUCUCUUUGAGGAUUCCAAAUGGACAUAUAGAGAACCUAAAUAGUAAAUCCUAUAUUAGCACGAUUAAAACGCAAGUCUUGGAAAAUCUCCGUUGCAUCCAACAUGCUCCUAAUGUACAAAUGCAAGAGUUUCCUUGAUCCCACAUGAUGGUAUUAGGUUGAUUCUGAUACCAUUUAUCACAACUCAAGGAUGCAUUCACCCCAUUGACGUGAUAUUUGAAAAGGCUAGUGACUGAUGAGACUUCUGGUUCCACCUGACUUUUAUAUUCCCGAUUUUGAUGAAGAUGCGCAGAACCCUGAUGAACGCGUGGAUCAGCACACCGAAGACAAGCACAUUCAGCGUGAUGAUGAAUAUUACGAAGGAGACAAUGAUAAUGAUCACAACAUGGAUGAUGUGUAAAAUUGGCAUGAACACCGUUUAUUCUUUUGGACAUAAUUUACUUCCUUUUCAGUAAGGGAAUGUUUAACUAGAUGCUGAAUUAUGUUAAGGCCUGUUCAUCAAGAAACAAGGAAUUCACAGAUGUGCCUGUUCAUAUUGGUUUUGAGUUAUUCCAGUGGGUCAGAGGUGUUCAUCUUACGCUUUAUUUGAUGUACAGAUUCGGCAUGUUUGUGAAAUUUUAGAAGCACGGGAACUGAUAGAAGCUAUA